UCAGGAUGAACGCUAGCGGCAGGCCUAAUACAUGCAAGUCGAACGAGAUCCAGGAGCUUGCUCUUGGUGAAAGUGGCGCACGGGUGCGUAACGCGUAUGCAACCUACCUUAAUCAGGGGGAUAGCCUCUCGAAAGAGAGAUUAACACCGCAUAAAAUCACAAGCUGGCAUCAGCAAAUGAUCAAAUAUUUAUAGGAUUAAGAUGGGCAUGCGUGACAUUAGUUUGUUGGUGAGGUAACGGCUCACCAAGACUACGAUGUCUAGGGGAUCUGAGAGGAUGACCCCCCACACUGGUACUGAGACACGGACCAGACUCCUACGGGAGGCAGCAGUAAGGAAUAUUGGUCAAUGGAGGCAACUCUGAACCAGCCAUGCCGCGUGCAGGAAGACGGCCCUACGGGUUGUAAACUGCUUUUAUACGGGAAUAAACCUCUUUACGUGUAAAGAGUUGAAUGUACUGUAAGAAUAAGGAUCGGCUAACUCCGUGCCAGCAGCCGCGGUAAUACGGAGGAUCCAAGCGUUAUCCGGAUUUAUUGGGUUUAAAGGGUGCGUAGGCGGCCUAUUAAGUCAGGGGUGAAAGACGGUGGCUCAACCAUCGCAGUGCCCUUGAUACUGAUGGGCUUGAUUACACUUGAGGUAGGCGGAAUGUGACAAGUAGCGGUGAAAUGCAUAGAUAUGUCACAGAACACCAAUUGCGAAGGCAGCUUACUAAGGUGUUAAUGACGCUGAGGCACGAAAGCGUGGGGAUCAAACAGGAUUAGAUACCCUGGUAGUCCACGCCCUAAACGAUGAAUACUCGAUGUUAGCGAUAUACAGUUAGCGUCAAAGCGAAAGCGUUAAGUAUUCCACCUGGGGGGGUACGCCCGCAAGGGUGAAACUCAAAGGAAUUGACGGGGGCCCGCACAAGCGC
rnacentral:rRNA from 1 species